rnacentral:rRNA from 1 species
GACGAACGCUGGCGGCGUGCUUAAUACAUGCAAGUCGAACGGAAAGGCCCUGCUCUUGCGGGGUGCUCGUGUGGCGAACGGGUGAGUAACACGUGAGUAACCUGCCCUUGACUUUGGGAUAACUUCAGGAAACUGGGGCUAAUAUCGGAUAGGAGCUCCUGCUGCACGGUGGGGGAUGGUAAGUUUCGGCGGUUGGGGAUGGACUCGCGGCUUAUCGGCUUGUUGGUCGGGUAGUGGCUUACCAAGGCUUUGACGGGUAGCCGGCCUUGGAGGGGGACCAGCGACAAUGGGACUGAGAUACGGCCCAGACGCCUACGGGACGCAGCAGUGGGGAAUAUUGCACAAUGGGCGGGAGCCUGAUGCAGCAACGCCGCGUGCGGGAUAACGGCCUUCGGGUUGUAAACCGCUUUCGCCUGUGACGAAGCGUGAGUGACGGUAAUGGGUAAGGAAGCACCGGCUAACUACGUG